GAUUUAUAUAUAGAUGAAUGCAUAAGUGUCAAUGUAGAAAAUAAUGGAGGAUUAAAAUUUCUUUCAUGGAUAUGUUUCCUGCUGUUUGAAUCCCCAUCAAUUUUUUUAAUUUGCAUGCGCAUUUUUCAAUGCAGGAAGUCUCUUGCACUGAGACACAAGAAUUUUUUUUUGUUAUUAAAUUGUAGAUAAAGGGAGUUCCACAUACGCAUGAGGAUGGGAACAUUGCAUGAUCAGAUGGGGCUCCCAUAUGGUGGAAAGAUUUACUAUCAACAAAAGGUGGCAACACUGCACUGAUAUGAGACGAGGAAUAAAGAUAAAUAAUAUUAGUAAUUAGCACUCAGUGAGUCAAUAUUCG
rnacentral:misc_RNA from 1 species